GGCAUCAUUAACAACCAAGGCAACCUCAUGCACACAGCUCCUUGGCCCACGUUAGAUGCUAUGAGGAAGGAUGUCAACUACUGUCACCAGGGGAAGAUACCGAGUCCUGGAUUUGGAUCAUGGCAGAUGACAAAAGAAAAAGCCAAUGGACUUUGGGAGCAGAUCCUGACUUGAAAUUUGAUCAACCCUGUUGCUGGGAGCAUGUGGUAAGAAUUUCACCAUGAACCAAGUUUAGUUUGUUAAGUUUAGGAAGCAUUUUACCUUUAUUUCUCUUGUAACCAUUUCUGACUUCAGUGCCUUAUACUUGUACUCAAUUAAAAUCUCUCUCUUUGUAGAUAAA